rnacentral:rRNA from 1 species
GAUGAACGCUGGCGGCGUGCUUAACACAUGCAAGUCGAACGAAGCAUUUAGGACAGAUUACUUCGGUUUGAAGUUCUUUAUGACUGAGUGGCGGACGGGUGAGUAACGCGUGGGUAACCUGCCUUGUACUGGGGGAUAGCAGCUGGAAACGGCUGGUAAUACCGCAUAAGCGCACAAUGUUGCAUGACAUGGUGUGAAAAACUCCGGUGGUAUAAGAUGGACCCGCGUCUGAUUAGCUAGUUGGUGAGAUAACAGCCCACCAAAGCGACGAUCAGUAGCCGACCUGAGAGGGUGACCGGCCACAUUGGGACUGAGACACGGCCCAGACUCCUACGGGAGGCAGCAGUGGGGAAUAUUGCACAAUGGAGGAAACUCUGAUGCAGCGACGCCGCGUGAGUGAAGAAGUAAUUCGUUAUGUAAAGCUCUAUCAGCAGGGAAGAUAGUGACGGUACCUGACUAAGAAGCUCCGGCUAAAUACGUG